GGUUCCAUAGUGUAGCGGUUAACACAUCUGCCUUACAUGCAGAAGGUCCUGGGUUCACACCCCAGUAGAGCCA
rfam:Pteropus alecto contig46874, whole genome shotgun sequence.